CUCUAAGUAACCUAAGAAAGGUACUAAACUUUUAAUUUAGUUAUGAUAAUAUUAUAUCCUUAGGGA